rnacentral:lncRNA from 1 species
UUUUUUUGCUUUUAUUAUUUAAUUUGAUAGUCUUAAAAAAAAAAGAGAAGAAAAAAAUAGAAAAAGUCAAUAAAAAAAAGAAAAAAAAGAAGAAAAAAAGAAAGAAAAAAAAAGAAAAAAGUCAAUAAAAAAAAGAGAAAAAAAAGAGAAAAAAAGUUUGUUGGCAGGGGACGUAACAGAAUUCCAUCCUCCCUCACACAGGGACCACACCUCAUCACUCACACUGGAAGGCACACUCACGACUGAUGAUUCUCAUGAACACCCAUUAACCAACAAAGAGGAAUCCAUCCAUCACACCUUUUUUUCAUCACCACCAAACACGCACACUGAUACACUCCCAUAGACACUCUCCCCAUUAACUCGAGAGAACCACCCUCUCCGAAACCAAUUCGAUCACAGCCAUAUUCAUCCAUCAACCACAUUUCUUUCUCACCCAUAAUCAUCACUCACCGGAAAAGCAAAAAGGCACGAAUUCUUCUCCAAAAAUCUUUAUUAUCCAUCAUGAUUCUAACAAGCAGAAGGAGAUAAGUUUCAUCUCUUCAGGUCCUUCCUUUCUC